UAUAUGCAAGUUGAUUGCCAUUCCAUUUUAGAUUGUUAUUCUCAGUGUUUUAUGCAAAGUUUCAUAGCUUCUAUGACUAUUAUUGUCUUUAGAAAAUUCCUGCAUUAAAAAGAUCAAUACAAAGUAACUCAGAUACUUUAGAGAUCAGGUAUCUUCUACCUGAUAUGGUUAUUAAGUGCAAAACAAUGUACUAAGAAUAAGGUAUACAAUUGUAAAACAGGAAUUCUCUGCCUUCAAGUAGCUUAAUCAUAGAAGCAACAAAUAAAAGGAAAUGAUGAUGAUCAGGGAAGGGAACCAGAGCAUGUGAAGCCACAAAAUGAGCAAGUGCUGCAAUGGAGUUGGGAUGAUAAUUGCCAGACAAGAGCCAAAAAGUGGACAAGGUGAAGAAGACAGUUUGAUGCUAGGCAUUGUCAAGGUUAUAGCUUAGCUCCUCCUAGGAAUUGUCUCUGGAAACUGAGAGUGAAGAAUAAAGGAGCAAUAAGGAGCA
rnacentral:lncRNA from 1 species